rnacentral:lncRNA from 1 species
AAAUGCAGUAACGACCAUUUUAAAUUUUCUUCCUCUUCUUAAGUUUACCGACUUACGUGCUUGUUUUCUUGCCUAUGAGUUUCCAAACACCAGCAUUGAUAAUCCCUCAUCAAUUCCCUCCACUGCUUUCAUGGCUACCAAAUCCCAGCAUUUCCCUAAAACAUUGUGGUCUUUCUCACUGGAGUUCUCGAAGUGAUCU